AAUGGAUUAAGAGCUUGCUCUUAUGAAGUUAGCGGCGGACGGGUGAGUAACACGUGGGUAACCUACCCAUAAGACUGGGAUAACUCCGGGAAACCGGGGCUAAUACCGGAUAAUAUUUUGAACUGCAUAGUUCGAAAUUGAAAGGCGGCUUCGGCUGUCACUUAUGGAUGGACCCGCGUCGCAUUAGCUAGUUGGUGAGGUAACGGCUCACCAAGGCGACGAUGCGUAGCCGACCUGAGAGGGUGAUCGGCCACACUGGGACUGAGACACGGCCCAGACUCCUACGGGAGGCAGCAGUAGGGAAUCUUCCGCAAUGGACGAAAGUCUGACGGAGCAACGCCGCGUGAGUGAUGAAGGCUUUCGGGUCGUAAAACUCUGUUGUUAGGGAAGAACAAGUGCUAGUUGAAUAAGCUGGCACCUUGACGGUACCUAACCAGAAAGCCACGGCUAACUACGUGCCAGCAGCCGCGGUAAUACGUAGGUGGCAAGCGUUAUCCGGAAUUAUUGGGCGUAAAGCGCGCGCAGGUGGUUUCUUAAGUCUGAUGUGAAAGCCCACGGCUCAACCGUGGAGGGUCAUUGGAAACUGGGAGACUUGAGUGCAGAAGAGGAAAGUGGAAUUCCAUGUGUAGCGGUGAAAUGCGUAGAGAUAUGGAGGAACACCAGUGGCGAAGGCGACUUUCUGGUCUGUAACUGACACUGA
rnacentral:rRNA from 1 species